rnacentral:rRNA from 1 species
CUACGGGAGGCAGCAGUGGGGAAUCUUGGACAAUGGGCGCAAGCCUGAUCCAGCCAUGCCGCGUGAGUGAUGAAGGCCCUAGGGUUGUAAAACUCUUUCGUGGGGGACGAUAAUGACGGUACCCCAAGAAGAAGCUCCGGCUAACUUCGUGCCAGCAGCCGCGGUAAUACGAAGGGGGCUAGCGUUGUUCGGAUUUACUGGGCGUAAAGCGCGUGUAGGCGGGUCGUUAAGUUGGGGGUGAAAUCCCGGAGCUCAACUCCGGAACUGCCUUCAAAACUGGCGACCUGGACUCAAGCAGAGGCAAGUGGAAUUGCGAGUGUAGAGGUGAAAUUCGUAGAUAUUCGCAGGAACACCAGUGGCGAAGGCGACUUGCUGGGCCUGUAGUGACGCUGAGACGCGAAAGCGUGGGGAGCAAACAGGAUUAGAUACCCGAGUAGUCC